rnacentral:lncRNA from 1 species
AUAAGCGUAGGUAAAUGACUUAAAAAGCAAUAGCUUUUGUAAUUUUUUCUGAAGCGUUACAAUUCAAUGGAGUACAAAUUUUUGCCAAACUUUGCAAUAGAAAUCCAAUAAGUGAAUGAAUGAAAUAGAGAAUGCUUUAAAAUGUGUAGGUGGAAAGUGCCCACAUGUGCUACACGUAUGCAUGCCUAACUUGCUUAAGCUGUCCCCGA